GCUCUGAAUGAUCUUCUCGGCACCAGAGGUCCAGGACUGGAUGAAGGGAAGUGGCCCCUGGCCUCCACAGCUGACCACAUGAGGGUGGCUUCUAGCCUCUUUCUUCCUGUCCUCCUGACAGAGGUGUGGCUGGUGACUAGUUUCAAUCUCAGCUCCCAUUCACCAGAGGCUUCCGUUCACCUGGAGUCUCAGGAUUAUGAGAAUCAAACCUGGGAAGAGUACACACGGACUGAUCCCAGGGAGGAGGAGGAGGAGGAGGAGGAAAAGGAGGAAGGCAAGGAUGAGGAAUAUUGGCUGAGGGCCAGUCAGCAGCUCUCCAAUGAGACUUCAAGCUUUGGGUUCAACCUGCUUCGAAAGAUCUCCAUGAGGCACGACGGCAAUGUGAUCUUCUCACCUUUUGGCCUGUCUGUGGCCAUGGUGAAUUUGAUGCUGGGGACCAAGGGAGAGACCAAAGUCCAGAUAGAAAAUGGACUCAACCUACAGGCCCUGAGCCAAGCAGGACCCCUGAUCCUUCCAGCCCUCUUCAAGAAGGUCAAAGAGACCUUCUCCAGCAACCGGGACCUGGGCCUCAGCCAGGGUAGCUUUGCCUUCAUCCACAAGGACUUUGAUAUCAAAGAGACCUAUUUCAAUCUCUCCAAGAAGUAUUUUGAUAUAGAGUAUGUGUCUAUAAAUUUUCAAAAUUCCUCACAAGCCAGAGGGCUCAUAAACCACUGCAUUGUCAAAGAGACUGAGGGGAAAAUCCCCAAGCUUUUUGAUGAGAUUAAUCCUGAAACAAAGUUAAUUCUGGUGGACUACGUCUUGUUCAAAGGCUUGUUUCUACAGGGGCUCUCUUCUGACUUGUUCAGGGAAGUGGCUGACUCCAUUUGACCCCAGCUUCACUGAGGCCGACACUUUCCACCUGGACAAGUACAGGGCAAUUAAGGUGCCCAUGAUGUACCGGGAAGGGAACUUUACCUCCACCUUUGACAAGAAGUUCCGCUGUCACAUCCUCAAACUGCCCUACCAAGGAAAUGCCACCAUGCUAGUGGUCCUCAUGGAGAAGACAGGUGAUUACUUGGCCCUGGAGGACUACUUGACCGUGGAUCUCGUGGAGACAUGGCUGCAGAAUAUGAAAACCAGGAAAAUGGAGGUCUUCUUUCCCAAGUUCAAGCUGAACCAGAGGUAUGAGAUGCACGAGCUGCUCAAACAGAUGGGAAUCAGGAGGCUCUUCUCCACCUCAGCUGACCUCAGCGAACUCUCAGCCAUGGCAAGAAACCUUCAGGUGUCCAGGGUUUUACAACAGUCGGUGCUUGAGGUGGAUGAAAGGGGAACAGAAGCAGUGUCAGGGACGCUGUCAGAGAUUAUCGCUUACUCCAUGCCUCCUGCCAUCAAAGUGAACCGGCCUUUUCACUUCAUCAUCUAUGAGGAGAUGUCCAGGAUGCUCCUAUUUCUGGGCAGGGUGGUAAACCCCACAGUCCUGUGACUCGGGUGUAUGUAAGACCUCGUUCACCACGGUUGCUGAGCCAGAGGUGUCUGAAACACAAGAUGCUGGUGGUAGGUGGGAAAGGAUGUGUUCUCUGUACCCAGCCUGCUCGCUGUGGCUGUUCCCUGAUUAACACUGAAACUAAAACAACUCAUACUUUAA